GUGUUACCUCACCCUGAGCUGUUCAUUAUCAUGAUAUAGUGGUGUUACCUCACCCUGCGCUGUUCAUGAUCAUGAUAUAGUGGUGUUACCUCACCCUGCGCUGUUCAUUAUCAUGAUAGUGGUGUUACCUCAACCUGUUCAUUAUCAUGAUAUAGUGGUGUUACCUCACCCUGUUCAUUAUCAUGAUAUAGUGGUGUUACCUCACCCUGUUCAUUAUCAUGAUAUAGUGGUGUUACCUCACCCUGAGCUGUUCAUUAUCAUGAUAUGGUGGUGUUCUCACCCUGAACUGUUCAUUAUCUCCAGGAUCGUGAUAUAGUGGUGUUACCUCACCCUGUUCAUUAUCUCCAGUAUCGUGAUAUAGUGGUGUUCUCAUCCUGAGCUCUGUUCAUUAUCUCCAGGAUCGUGAUAUAGUGGUGUUCUCACCCUGUUCAUUAUCUCCAGUAUCGUGAUAUUCUCACCCUGAGCUGUUCAUUAUCUCCAGUAUCGUGAUAUAAUGGUGUUACCUCACCCUGAGCUGUUCAUUAUCUCCAGUAUCGUGAUAUAGUGGGGUUCUCUCACCCGGAGCUGUUCAUUAUCUCCAGUAUCGUGAUAUAGUUGUGUUCUCUCACCCUGAGCUGUUCAUUAUCUCCAGUAUCGUAACAUAGUGGUGUUCUCACCCCGAGUUGUUCAUUAUCUCCAGUAUUGUGAUAUAGUGGUGUUACCUCACCCUGUUCAUUAUCUCCAGUAUUGUGAUAUAGUGGUGUUACCUCACCCUGUUCAUUAUCUCCAGUAUCGUGAUAUAGUGGUGUUACCUCACCCUGUUCAUUAUCUCCAGUAUCGUGAUAUAGUGGUGUUACCUCACCCUGUUCAUUAUCUCCAGUAUCGUGAUAUAGUGGUGUUACCUCACCCUGUUCAUUAUCUCCAGUAUCGUGAUAUAGUGGUGUUACCUCACCCUGUUCAUUAUCUCCAGUAUCGUGAUAUAGUGGUGUUACGUCACCCUGAGCUGUUCAUCAUCUCCAGUAUCGUGAUAUAGUGGUGUUACGUCACCCUAUUCAUUAUCUCCAGUAUCGUGAUAUAGUGGUGUUACCUCACCCUGUUCAUUAUCUCCAGUAUCGUGAUAUAGUGGUGUUACCUCACCCUGUUCAUUAUCUCCAGUAUCGUGAUAUAGUG
ensembl:lncRNA